GUGCAGCAGGCGAGAAACCUUUACCAUGCACGAAAGUGUGAUAAGGUUACCCGGAGUGCCCAGAGAAAAACUGUGGGCUGUUAUAGGUGUGUAGAUAACCCUAUGAGAAAGGAGAGGGGCAAGGCUGGUGCCAGCCGCCGCGGUAAAAACCAGCUCUUCAAGUGGUCGGGAUUUUUAUUGGGCUUAAAGUGUCCGUAGCCUGUUUGGUAAGUUCCUGGUUAAAAUAUGGCAAGCUUAACUGUCACUUGGCUAGGAAUACUGCCUUACUAGAGGGUGGGAAAGGUUUGGGGUACUCCAGGGGUAGCGGUGAAAUGCGAUAA
rnacentral:rRNA from 1 species